GUCAUUGUAGUAUAGUGGUGAGUAUUCCUGCCUGUCACGCAGGUGACCCGGGUUCGAUCCCCGGCAACGGCG
rnacentral:tRNA from 1 species